rnacentral:rRNA from 1 species
UACGUAGGGCGCGAGCGUUGUCCGGAAUUAUUGGGCGUAAAGAGCUCGUAGGCGGUUUGUCGCGUUGUUCGUGAAAACUCACAGCUCAACUGUGGGCGUGCGGGCGAUACGGGCAGACUAGAGUACUGCAGGGGAGACUGGAAUUCCUGGUGUAGCGGUGGAAUGCGCAGAUAUCAGGAGGAACACCGGUGGCGAAGGCGGGUCUCUGGGCAGUAACUGACGCUGAGGAGCGAAAGCGUGGGGAGCGAACAGG